UAGAGAGUAGUAUAGUGGAAGUACGUGGGGUUUUGAGCUCCUUAGUACAGGUUCGGAUCCUGUUUUCUA
rnacentral:tRNA from 1 species